AUACGUAGGGUGCAAGCGUUAAUCGGAAUUACUGGGCGUAAAGCGUGCGCAGGCGGUUUUGUAAGACAGUGGUGAAAUCCCCGGGCUCAACCUGGGAACUGCCAUUGUGACUGCAAGGCUGGAGUGCGGCAGAGGGGAUGGAAUUCCGCGUGUAGCAGUGAAAUGCGUAGAUAUGCGGAGGAACACCGAUGGCGAAGGCAAUCCCCUGGGCCUGCACUGACGCUCAUGCACGAAAGCGUGGGGAGCAAACAGGAUUAGAUACCCUGGUAGUCCACGCCCUAAACGAUGUCAACUGGUUGUUGGGGAUUUAUUUUCUCAGUAACGAAGCUAACGCGUGAAGUUGACCGCCUGGGGAGUACGGCCGCAAGGUUAAAACUCAAAGGAAUUGACGGGG
rnacentral:rRNA from 1 species